rnacentral:rRNA from 1 species
CAAAAAUAUCCGCCAGAGAACUACGAGCAAAACGCUUAAAACUCUAAGGACUUGGCGGUACCUCAAACCCCCCUAGAGGAGCCUGUUCUAUAAUCGAUAAUCCACGAUCCACCUCACCAUCUCUUGCUAAUCCCGCCUAUAUACCACCGUCACCAGCUUACCCCAUGAGGGCAUAAAAGUAAGCAAAAUAACUAAAAACAGUUAACAAGUCAGGUCAAGGUGUAGCUUAUUGAGAUGGGAAGAAAUGGGCUACAUUUUCUAUACUAGAAAUAAAUUUACGGAAGGAAACUAUGAAAUAAGUCCCACAAGUAGGAUUUAGCAGUAAACCGGGAUCAUGAA